AACGUCAAAAUCUCGCGAAGUAACGGACGCUGUAACUGACGCGCACGAGCUCUGUUUAAAACGCGUCAAAACGCACAGUAUUCGCCUUUCAACUGCAUAUUUGAGUUAUACAACAUCGUAAGAUUGGAAAAUAGAUCUAUUUACGUGAUCCGUGUGCUAUUUGUGAGUGUUUUGAAUGGAGGAGCAGACGGUAAAUCAACUGGACAACCUGCUGCUUCAGUUAGGUAUAGAAACACGAGAGCUUGCUCAGAAGAAGGAUGACCUCAAACAACAAAUACAAAUUUGCGAGUCCAACAUUCAAGAGAAGAAGGAUUACUUUAACACAACUCACAAGAUCCUCAGCAAACUCAGUGAGGAGACCCAGCAAAAACAAAACACUUGGAAGUUCAUCAGAGAAAACACUAAGAAUCUCCAGCGAACAGGACAUCUGCUGCUUCAGUAUGAAAAGACACUGGAAGCUGAGCUAGAGAAGAGACAGGACAGCUAUAAUCAAGACAUGAAAAUCUUCCAGGAGAGAAUGGAGAGCUACAGGAACGUGUUUCAGCAGUAUAAGGAUCGAUACUGUCAGAACUCACUGGCUCAAAAACUGCUGAAGAUUCAAGCCGAGAAUGAGGAAAUCGAGAGGAGAAUCAGAGCAACGGAAGAACAGAUAUCGGAGAAAGAGAGAGAACUGGUGGCAGCACUGGGUGAAGAUGAGCCAGUCACUAAUGCUGCUGACAGCAUCAGUAAGUGUCAAGACAAUGACGUCCCACAAACUGAAAACAGGGAGUCAUUUGAUGAAAUGGACCCUCAUCAAGACCCCAUAAUGCAGAGGCCUGAAGAAUAUGCAGAGGAGCACAUGGCUGCUGAAGGUCCUUCUGAGGAAAAUAAGGAUAAAACAGCAGAAAGUGAAUCUCAAACCGACACAUUUCGCCACGGCCUAUGGACAAAGACUGAAACUGGAGAAGAUCAAAUGCAAGAAGGUGAUCAGAAGCAGUCAGAGGAGGAGGGGAAUAUGAAUGUUUCAUGUGCUUCUGAGCUCAUGGUGGAAAUGUCAGAGGAGGAGGAGGAAGAUCGUUUGGAGGUGACCACAGCAGAUGCUCAGGAGGACACGGUGAAUGAGCGUGGCAUCUGUCCUCCUCCAUCACCGGCUAGAAUAAAAGCCACGCCGACCACCCCCACCUUCUCUCUAAACAACAGUCCCAGUUCCUCACCUGGACGGCAGGAGAUCUCGGACACCAAGUCGCCUGCUUUUGUCUUCUCCAUGAAUUCUGGUCCAAGCACACCUGCGUUCUCUAAGCUGGGCUGUGAUUUUGCUGCAGAAGAGGCAUCUCCAUUUACCUUCACAAGCUCCUAUUUCAGCG
rnacentral:lncRNA from 1 species